CCUGGGGAUCUUAUGAAAAUGCAGAUUCUGGUUCAGGAGUUCUAAGAUGGGGCCUGGGAUUCUGCAUUUCUAACAAUCUCCCAGAUGAUGC
rnacentral:pre_miRNA from 1 species